GUAAACAUAGUUUAAGAAAACACUAGAUUGUGAUUCUAGCAUCAGGGGUUAAACCCCCCUUGUUCACC
rnacentral:tRNA from 1 species